GUAUAACAAGUAGUAGUAUAGGGUGAGUACACGGUGAUAGCCGUAGCUCCGGUUGAAAUCCGGACGCUUGUUAAACGGACAGCCGACAGGGUGCUUGGGGUGCUCUGUCGGCUGUUUUUUUG
rnacentral:sRNA from 1 species